GAAAAAAGACAAGAAAAGACAAAUGAUUGACUAGCAAGCCAGCGUGUCAUAUGUGCAGCUCCGCCAUCUUCAUCCAUCACAAGAGUUGCAAAUUGUAGUAUAAUAUAACCAAAUUUCAUCACCCGCCCCUGUUGGUUCGGACAAAACUCACGCACAAAGCACCUCUGUUGAUGUUCUUCUCCGCCAUCUAAACUGGGCUUCCCUAGAUUCUUCCGGUCUCAACGAUCACCUUACAGAACCGGGCUGAGUUUUUCUUAAUUAUAUUUACUAGGACUCUUUGGUGUUUUCAUUUUUGAGGAAAUUAAAUGGAUCAUAGUGCCUUGGAAGACAGAGACCUUGAGAGUGGAGGAACAGGCAGCGAAGAUGAGCUGAGUAGCGGAAGCAUUUCAUCCAACAAGUCAGCAAGAAGUGUGUUUGGUAGACUUAGGACUGAUAUUUUGGGUUUUGAGGGAUAUGGCAAGGAUGAGUGUAGUUCGAGCACCUAUAACAUGUCAGGAAAUUCUAAUCAGGCUUUGUAUGAAAAUAAAGAUUCUUUAACAGACAAACAUUUAGAACAAGGCAUAGAACAGCUGCCUGUUACAGAGAAAAAGAACAUAAAAGAGAAAAGGAAAAAUUCUUUUCGAAAGGCCUCUAGACCCCCUCGACCUCCCAAAGGUCCAACACUGGAUGUCUCAGAUUUAAAGUUAAUUACGGAAAUUUCUGAUCUUGCUAAGAAGAGGCGUGCAAGGAUUAAACGCAUCAAGGCACUUAGGGAAAUGAAAACCAAGAUAGCAUCGCCAUCUUCUUCAUCAUCGUCAUCGUUGAUCGGUAGGCUAGCUGCCAUGGUGGCUACACUUCUCCUUUUUAUUGUUAUUCUCUUUCAAGGCAUUUUAUCAAAGCACACUUCAAGUGCUAGCUUCAAGGGAUCUCCUGAGCCAGCUGCAGCAGCACACGACUUGAUAUCAGUUCGCUUCUUCAACAGCACCCCUAUAAGUGGGGGCAGUGCACCGAGUUCCAUACUUCCCAAAUUGUAUGAUAAAGCUGGUGGAGGUUCUGGAUAGUUUUAUGUGUGAAAAGUGAUAAAAUUGGCGAGACACAUACACUAGUAAUGUGCUCCACCUUAUAUUCUUAUAUCCCAUUGCACCAGAAACCCGAGGGUAAACACCAUUCCAUCAACCGAUAAUGUAUUUAUGUAGAUGUACAGAUAAGUGGGUAUUUCAAUUGAUUACUGAGUUGUUGGUGAUUGUUACUUCUUCCUGUAUGCUACAGACUUGUAUAUUUCUUCACCAUUUUAGAGUCAAACUUGACAAACUGAGAUCUAGUGUGAUUCCAUCCCGUGAAGCUUAAAAAGAGCACAAUCCUUUUUGAAAAAGGUCCCUACAGUUAGUAGUUUAAGUAGAUAAAAAAACUUGUACACUUGCUGUAUGCCAUAAAUGGCAAAUAGCAAGAACAUCACAAGCAAGCACUCUCCCAUGGCUGCCUGCUUACAUCUGUAAAUAUAUCAGACUCGAAAUUCGACAUUUUAGUAUGCAUAUUCAGGUACUGAAUUCAGCCCGUUACCAAAUUCGUUGGUGAAAAACUAGUGAAUAUGUAAUACAAUGCUGCGUAUUUGAUUUAUUAGAAUACGCUCUCUGCUGAUCGCGAAUUGUAAGUUCAGCAGCUUUUUUUUUUUUUUUUUGGUCACAGUAAGUUCAGCAGCUUAUGUGUUGCAAAUACAUCCACAACUUCCAGUUGUGAUGUACAUGUUUGAAACCAUUAGAUCUUUGUAAAGGUCUAUAUUUGUUGGUGAAGGCAAUAUAUUUUUACACAUGCUAUUUGGCUGUA